rnacentral:rRNA from 1 species
UACGCAGGGUGCAAGCGUUAAUCGGAAUUACUGGGCGUAAAGGGUGCGUAGGCGGUUGUUUAAGUCUGUCGUGAAAUCCCCGGGCUCAACCUGGGAAUGGCGAUGGAUACUGGGCAGCUAGAGUGUGUCAGAGGAUGGUGGAAUUCCCGGUGUAGCGGUGAAAUGCGUAGAGAUCGGGAGGAACAUCAGUGGCGAAGGCGGCCAUCUGGGACAACACUGACGCUGAAGCACGAAAGCGUGGGGAGCAAACAGG